CUUGUGAUGGCCAUGCUCCUU
rnacentral:siRNA from 1 species